GGGGGGGAUUGUACCUGAUAUUCAUAUGAUGAAGACAUAAUCUUUCAAUCAGUUUAAUUGAGGUCUGGAGCUGGCAUGUCAGUUAACUGCUAGUAGUCUGUUGUUAUUUAUGUAUUAUUGUCAUUUUAUUUAUUUUCUUUUGUUACAUCUUUUGACAUCAGACUCGGACUUCUCUUGAACUGAAUUUUAAUGUGCGUAUUGUUAUUCUUUUACUUUUCUACAUUGGCUAGAGGUAUAGGGGGAGGGUUGAGAUCUCAUAAACAUGUUUAACCCCGCCGCAAUUUUGCGCCUGUCCCAAGUCAGGAGCCUCUGGCCUUUGUUAGUCUUAUAUGAUUUUAAAUUUUAGUUUCUUGUGUAUAAUUCGGAGUUUAGUAUGACGUCCAUUAUCACUGUACUAUUAUGCAUAUUUUAGGGGCCAGCUGAAGGACACCUACGGGUGCGGGAAUUCUCGCUACAUUGAAGACCCAUUGGUUGCCUUCGGCUGUUGUUUGCUCUAUGGUCGGGUGGUUGUCGCUU
rnacentral:lncRNA from 1 species